ensembl:rRNA 5S_rRNA 5S ribosomal RNA
GCUUACGGCCACACCGCCUGGUUAAUGCCCGGUCUCGUUUGAUCUCGGAAGCUAGGAUAGGUUGGGCCUGGUUAGUACUUGGAUGGUAGACCGCCUGGGAUUACCAGGUGCUGUAAGCU